AUGGCAUAGUGCAGACAUUUUCUAAUUAGUUCUUUUAAUCUCUCCCAUAUUUUGUGGAACAUCUCUCUAUCCAUCUGGGGAAAACUUGAGAUGGCUUUUCUAAUUU